CGCGGGGUGGAGCAGCCCGGUAGCUCGUCAGGCUCAUAACCUGAAGGUCGUAGGUUCGAAUCCUACCCCCGCCACCA
rnacentral:tRNA from 1 species